CUCCUCUCAGGAUUGCACCUGGAGAGUUUCCAGUACUCUACCAGUCUCGACUAUGGGAGGGAGAGAGAUCAAACAGAGGUAUGACCAUUCCAUUCCCAGCUUGGCCAGUGGCUAGUGAGUGGAAGGCAAUCAGCCACAAGU